rnacentral:rRNA from 1 species
GUGCCAGCAGCCGCGGUAAUACGUAGGUCCCGAGCGUUGUCCGGAUUUAUUGGGCGUAAAGCGAGCGCAGGUGGUUUAAUAAGUCUGAUGUAAAAGGCAGUGGCUCAACCAUUGUGUGCAUUGGAAACUGUUAGACUUGAGUGCAGUAGAGGAGAGUGGAAUUCCAUGUGUAGCGGUGAAAUGCGUAGAUAUAUGGAGGAACACCGGUGGCGAAAGCGGCUCUCUGGACUGUAACUGACACUGAGGCUCGAAAGCGUGGGUAGCAAACAGGAUUAGAUACCCUGGUAGUCCACGCCGUAAACGAUGAGUGCUAGUUGUUUGGGGCUAUCCAGCCCUAAGUGACGCAGCAAACGCAUUAAGCACUCCGCCUGGGGAGUACGACCGCAAGGUUGAAACUCAAAGGAAUUGACGGGGGCCCGCACAAGCGGUGGAGCAUGUGGUUUAAUUCGAAGCAACGCGAAGAACCUUACCAGGUCUUGACAUACCAGUGCUAUUCUUAGAGAUAAGAAGUUACUUCGGUACACUGGAUACAGGUGGUGCAUGGUUGUCGUCAGCUCGUGUCGUGAGAUGUUGGGUUAAGUCCCGCAACGAGCGCAACCCCUAUUGUUAGUUGCCAUCAUUAAGUUGGGCACUCUAGCGAGACUGCCGGUAAUAAACCGGAGGAAGGUGGGGAUGACGUCAAAUCAUCAUGCCCCUUAUGACCUGGGCUACACACGUGCUACAAUGGUUGGUACAACGAGUCGCAAGCUAGUGAUAGCAAGCUAAUCUCUUAAAGCCAAUCUCAGUUCGGAUUGUAGGCUGCAACUCGCCUACAUGAAGUCGGAAUCGCUAGUAAUCGCGGAUCAGCACGCCGCGGUGAAUACGUUCCCGGGCCUUGUACACACCGCCCG